ensembl:lncRNA
GCACCCAUUCACUUCAAAGGACCCAUUGGUGAGCAAGUGAUGUAAUGCUAAAUUUCUCCAAAUCUGAUCCGAUUAAGAAACAAACUCGUCUUGGAUGGCCUGAAGAUACUGGCUGACAUCCAGGUGGGUUCUGUGAAUCCUUUUCUAAGCUGAGAGAAGCCUGCAUUCAUUUCUGUCCUUUCUGAAUUAUGCCUUGGCCACCUGUCCUCCCUACUGAAUUGCUGCUCGUCAGGUAUACCAUGCAUGGUGGAUGAGGCUGGGCGAGUGUGUGCUUCUGUGUACGUACAUGUACGUGUGAAAGAAAGAGAUCUAAGG